AUUGAACGCUGGCGGCAUGCCUUACACAUGCAAGUCGAACGGCAGCACGGGAGCAAUCCUGGUGGCGAGUGGCGAACGGGUGAGUAAUAUAUCGGAACGUGCCCAGUCGUGGGGAUAACGUAGCGAAAGCUACGCUAAUACCGCAUACGAUCUAUGGAUGAAAGCGGGGGAUCGCAAGACCUCGCGCGAUUGGAGCGGCCGAUAUCAGAUUAGGUAGUUGGUGAGGUAAAGGCUCACCAAGCCGACGAUCUGUAGCUGGUCUGAGAGGACGACCAGCCACACUGGGACUGAGACACGGCCCAGACUCCUACGGAGGCAGCAGUGGGGAAUAUUGGACAAUGGGCGAAAGCCUGAUCCAGCCAUGCCGCGUGUGUGAAGAAGGUCUUCGGAUUGUAAAGCACUUUAAGUUGGGAGGAAGGGUAGUAACCGUAAUACGUUGCUACUUUGACGUUACCGACAGAAUAAGCACCGGCUAACUUCGUGCCAG
rnacentral:rRNA from 1 species